UUAUUACUCCCUCCAUCCGGAAAUACUUGUCCUAGAAAUGGAUGUAUCCAGACUUAUUUUAGUUAAAGAUACAUCCAUUGUAUACAUUUUUAGGACAAGUAUUUCCGGACGGAGGGAGUACUUU
rnacentral:pre_miRNA from 1 species